rnacentral:lncRNA from 1 species
GCUGCAAUGAACAAACAUGUGCAUGUGUCUUUAUAAUAGAAUACAUUUUUUUGAGACAAUCUCGCUGUAUUUCCAGGCUGGAGUGCAGUGGUGUGAUCUCAGCUCUCUGUGUCCUCUGCCUCCCAGGUUCAAGCAAUUCUCCUGCUUCAGCCUCCUGAAUAGCUGGGACUACAGGUGAAAUAUUACUUCAUUAUACUGUUUCUAAGCAGGAGGUUGGCAAACCACGAAGAGAUACUUGGAGGAAGCGUGAGCCUAAUACGCCACUCUAAGUGUGAGUAAUGGAUUCUUUUAAGUAUAUUCCAUUAGAUCAAGUACGUAAAGUUUGAUCAGUAGUAUGCAAACUAAGCAAAACCUUAAUCCCAAAAUCAGGUGGUGAGGAUGUGAAGGAAUUAGAGCGCUUGAACACCACUGGUGAGAAUAAUGGUGGAGUUGCUGUGGAAAACAGUAUGGCAGUUCCUCAAGAAGUUAAAAAUAGAAUUACCACAUCAUCCAGAUAUGACACUUCUGGGAAUAUAGCCAGCAAAAAUG